UCACACGGUGCUAUUCUCUUUUACCUUUUCCCUUUUCUAUUUAUUUUUAAUUUGUAUUACCCUCGAUUAUAUUGGUCAGUCGAAGGGUAAUAUCUUUUGCGUUGACAUUUUCAAAUACCUUUUUUGUAUAUUAUUUUUAAUUAUUAAUUAAUCUAUUACCUCGAUUUUGUCUAAAAAACGAUGUGAUAGUUAUUUUAAAUUAUUUUUCAGAAUAUGGUGCUAUGGGGCUUUGCUAUUUUUUAAUUAAUAUAUUUCCCCAGUUUUGUCUAAAAACUAAUGUAUUUU
rnacentral:lncRNA from 1 species